rnacentral:rRNA from 1 species
AAGCACUUGUACUGUGAACUGCGAAUGGCUCAUUAAAUCAGUUAUCGUUUAUUUGAUAGUACCUUACUACAUGGAUACCUGUGGUAAUUCUAGAGCUAAUACAUGCUAAAAACCCCGACUUCAGGAAGGGGUGUAUUUAUUAGAUAAAAAACCAACGCCCUUCGGGGCUCCUUGGUGAAUCAUAAUAACUUAACGAAUCGCAUGGCCUUGCGCCGGCGAUGGUUCAUUCAAAUUUCUGCCCUAUCAACUUUCGAUGGUAGGAUAGUGGCCUACCAUGGUGGCAACGGGUAACGGGGAAUUAGGGUUCGAUUCCGGAGAGGGAGCCUGAGAAACGGCUACCACAUCCAAGGAAGGCAGCAGGCGCGCAAAUUACCCAAUCCCGAUACGGGGAGGUAGUGACAAUAAAUACUGAUACGGGGCUCUUUUGGGUCUCGUAAUUGGAAUGAGAACAAUUUAAAUCCCUUAACGAGGAACAAUUGGAGGGCAAGUCUGGUGCCAGCAGCCGCGGUAAUUCCAGCUCCAAUAGCGUAUAUUAAAGUUGUUGCAGUUAAAAAGCUCGUAGUUGAACCUUGGGUCUGGCUGGCCGGUCCGCCUCACCGCGAGUACUGGUCCGGCUGGACCUUUCCUUCUGGGGAACCUCAUGGCCUUCACUGGCUGUGGGGGGAACCAGGACUUUUACUGUGAAAAAAUUAGAGUGUUCAAAGCAGGCCUUUGCUCGAAUACAUUAGCAUGGAAUAAUAGAAUAGGACGUGUGGUUCUAUUUUGUUGGUUUCUAGGACCGCCGUAAUGAUUAAUAGGGAUAGUCGGGGGCGUCAGUAUUCAGCUGUCAGAGGUGAAAUUCUUGGAUUUGCUGAAGACUAACUACUGCGAAAGCAUUCGCCAAGGAUGUUUUCAUUAAUCAGGGAACGAAAGUUAGGGGAUCGAAGAACGAUCAGAUACCGUCGUAGGCUUAACCAUAAACUAUGCCGACAAGGGAUCG